AAUCUGUACCACACAUAUGAAGUUAUCAAUAUGCGACAAUGGCUUCCUCCCUCUGCUCCUCGACUUUUCUUCUCUUCAAGCCCUCAUAUCUGAGCACUAACAGCCGGCUAAAGGCACCACUUCCGGCAAACUGUGUGUUCCGUAGCCAGUGGCAGAAACCUAGCUCGUCACCCGGCGAUGGAGGCUCCAAAUCGGAGAACGCGGUGCUUCGCGUUGCCUGGUAUGGAUCGGAGCUAUUGGGUAUCGCCGCGUCCUUCUUCCGUCCCACUCCGCUGCAGGAAGAGCUUUCCAAAGUUAGUGACGAUGAGUUGGGGAUUCUAGAUCGCGGUCGAGUAGUUGAAGCCAUUAAGGAUGACUUCCGGCGUUCGUAUUUUGUUACAGGAAAUCUGACUUUGAGUGCUUACAAUGAGGACUGUGAAUUUGCUGAUCCUGCUGGUUCAUUUAGAGGUCUUCGCCGAUUCAAGAGGAAUUGUUCAAAUUUUGGAUCAUUACUUGAGAAAUCCAACAUGGAACUAAUGAAAUGGGAAGAAUGUGAGGAUAAAGGAAUUGGGCACUGGCGUUUUAGCUGUGUCAUGUCAUUUCCUUGGAGGCCUAUUCUUUCUGCUACUGGAUACACGGAGUACUAUUUUGAUAUAUAUUCUGGAAAGGUCUGCAGGCAUGUGGAGCACUGGAAUGUCCCUAAAAUGGCUCUUCUGAAGCAAAUUUUCAAACCGAGCCGGUGGAUAUGGGAUAAAAGUUGAAUACCUCAACCACAUAAUGGUUAGGAUCACGGUUCACAACAAAUCACAAAGCCCUUGGAUGUCUAAAUUAAGUACUUGUUAGAAAAGAAAUCGAAAUGCCUAAAUUACUGCUGAAGAAACAUCUGCUUUUCUGAAGAAACAUCUGCAAAAGCUGUUUUAAUGAUCUCCAAGGUUUCAAUCCAUUGAUGGUGGAAAAGAUACUGUCACUUUCUGAUUCUACUGCUGCUGCAUUUUCUGAUUACUGUACCUGAUUUCACAAGCCACCCUAAAUGGAAACAAGAGGCCAUGCGACAAAUCAGAGUGGGAUUUGUCCAUUUUCACUUGUUUCUUACCUGCUGUGCUAUUUAUUUUAUUUGGAUUGAAAGAAACAACAGGAAGUUUGGCCACAAUGCUUCUAGCUCAUCCUUUAUUAGAGCCAAAAUUGUUAAAAACUGUUAAGUUUAAGCUGGAUAAAUGGAUAUAUGGUGAUGUUAUCAAAGAACAUAUUAAGAUUUUGUUUGGAA